UCAGAAAUUGAGCUUGGUGACGGGCUUCUAGACAUCAGAUCAACUGCAGUGCCUGAGUGCUCUAAAGAAGGCAGGAUUUGAGGUUUGCUGUUGCGGAUAUCUCAUUGAAUUGUGUUUGUUGAAGAAAAGAUGAUUUCUGAGCUGGUUAAAACUUUGCCAAAUACAUCGAAGCAUUAAACAGGAGGCAUUCUAUGUUGGUUUUGCUUGUACUUAGCUUCAAAUGCCAUGUAUAGCUGUAGAUGAAGUAUUCCAAUCCUCUGCAUCAUUUUAGUAGAGUAUCACACUAUCACUGUAAACAAAACUGAUUCUUGUUUUACAUUUAUUGCCAUUUUACAAUUACAGUGUAAAUUCUAAUCAAUUAGUACUAUGUAUGAUAAUCUUAUCGAUCUUAGACACAUGAGGCUUGUUAGUAAUGUUAAACUCCAUUGAUUCACUUAAUGUAUGUUCAAUAACAUAAGACAACUCUUGUUCAGAAAGAGGGACAAUUAUUAGUUGACAUAAAAAAGAGUUUUUUAUAGGUUGAUGUGUAUUUUGCAAUACGAACUAUUACUUUUCUGAUUGUGCUAUCAUAUUCUUCUCCUAGAAAUUGAAUAAACAAUUGAAGCAGGAACUUGUGACUCUCCCCUUCGAUGAAAGUACAUAUGCUAUCCCCUUUCCCUUCCGAAAAAUAAAGCUCUGGCAAAAUUUAGCAUAAUAUAGUUUAGCAUAAUACUUUUCAUUUCAGUACUUGCUUUUUUAUUUAUGUAGAAACUUGGCAUAGUUUAGCAUUCUUUUCCUUAUCAUUUGUUAUUAGGGUUGCUGCUGUGGUAAUUAACAAGAUUAAUUUGUUAAUGUGCCAUGUGUUUAGAGUUGGGAUUGAUUUGUCUGGGCGUUUGUUUAGGCCGGGUCUUUAAUUAGCUAUUUGCUAUUGAUUAGUUAGUCCUUGAUGCAUGUGGGUUGCUUUAUUAAUUAUGCUUGCCCAUGUUAGCCGUUAAUUUGUCUCUUAGAAUUAUAGAUAUUGUUGCAACAGGCAUGAGGUUUCUUUAAUUUUCUCCCUCUAAAUCGUAAGAUUUCUGGGAUGUUUUUACCAUGAAUUCUGGUUGUUUUGGUGGUUUUUGAAAAUAUUGAGGCUUGCCGAUUGGAUCUCAGGGAUCAUUUUAUGGGGAGAGAUAGAUAACAUAUUACCAAGUAUGAGAGGGAAGUUAUUAUUAUGAAACCUCCAAAUUAGGGGAAUGUAGGCAAUUCAUAUCGAAUGGACGAAGUAUUAAAUUUAUACACCAUGCAUGAUAAUGUUGCCAGCUUUACAAUUUGAAAUUUCCUUUAUAGAAAGAAGUUAUUCAUCUAUGUUUUCUGAGGUAAUGAAUCGGACAGCAUUAGAGAUUACUCUGAACUCCAAAAUAUAUUGAUGUCAUUUCAGUUUGAUAUUUGGUUGUUCGGGUUGCUUGUUGAAAUUCAAUUGUAUGGGGUAGAGUUGUGAAUUAUUCAAACAUUUGAGACAUCUUGCAAAGUUGCAGUAGGAUUCAUGUUGGGUUGUUGUGAUUUUUGUUGUUGCAAAGUUGCAGUAGGACUAUGUCACGUAUCAAUGCAUUAUUCAAGUGAUUGGGAGCUGGGUUGUGGACAUACUAAAAUCUUGAUACCUUGCUUGCAAUGGGAUUCAUGUUAUAUUGUUGUGAUUUCUGUUGCUUAACUUGUCUAUAUUAGGUUUUUUUUUUUUUUUUUUUUUUUGAAAAUAUUCAAGUUAUCACAAGCCAGAUUUCAGAAAUCUUGUGAUUCAGGCUUUGAGGCAAUUAAUGUGCCUGCGAAUAGGCUUGACAAUUAAGUUGUCAGCUUCCCUUUUAAUCGUCUUAGUACAAUCAGUUCAUGUACUAUCUGCUCAUUUUGUGGAAAUUUUUUCUGUCAAAUAUCUCUUUUGUUACCGUGAUUGGAUCAAGUGAAUGACUAAUUAGAUUAGCUCAAACUGUGGUAUUAUUUUAUGUUCAUUUAUGACCUUACUGUUUUUUUUUUCCCUUUACUAAUGACCGUUAUGUCCGCCGAUCCAUCUCAAAACUUUGGAGUAAGAAAUAAAAAAUCUAUGUGAUUUUAUGUAUAGGUAAAAUUUACAUUAAUGGUUCUAAUUUUUUAUUGAGACUUAUUCCUUAUGUUGUGCAUCAAGUAAAUUAUAGUAAUGCUUGCAAAAUGGGGAAGAAAGGAAGCUGAUUUUCAGCAAUUAAGAGGGUCUUUGGCCUCUUUGCACAUAGCUCUAAGGAGAAAGUAACUGAUAAAUCUUCUAUGAUAAUGAAGAGUUUGUCUGAUGUGGACGAUGAACUUUUGAAGCUACAACCUCAAUUUGACAAUGCAGACUUGCCCCCUGGUGUUGAGGCGACAUCAGUUCCCUGGUCGCAGGUUCCAACACCAAGUGAGAAGCCUCCUACUGCUGGAACAUCGAUUUUUCCAGUCCAGGAAGAGAAAGUCUCUGCACCUAGCUGCUCUAAAGCCGAGUCAAGUUCAAUAGUUAUGGACCAGUAGUUGGUUAAGCAUUUUCAACAGGAAGUUUCUAGAUUGGAAGCUGAGAUCAAAAGUCCUAAACCUUCAUCUUCAUCAACUUUAAAGGCACUUCUGAUUGAGAAAAACGUAAAAAUCCAAGAGAAUUAAGAGUUUGAAACACAAACCCUACCUUAUUUGAUCCUCACAAAGACAUUGUCGAUACAAGCUCACCCAUGCAAGGAGUUGGCAAAGAAAUUGUAAAUUAAGAACCCACUUAUUUACAAGGAUGGCAAUCAUAAGCCAAAAAUGGCUCUUGCAGUAACAAAGUUUGAUAUCCUUUGCGAUUUUGUCAGUAUCGAGGAGGAAGUAUUAUACAAAGUUGAGGCAAAUUCGGAGAACUGGAUGAUUGUUGGCAGAAAGCGUGGGCAUAUCUCUCUCCCCACUAAGCAAGCUAAUAGCAGUCAAUCAAAGUUCAUACUCUAUGAUUAAGUGAACUCGAUAUAAUUUAUAUUUGAUAUUUUGUUUAGGAACUAAUAUGCUUGUAAUAUAUUCAGGAUCAAGAUUUAUAAUCUCAAUUUCGUGUAUACCCUUAGUGGCUGGGUAUGUACGCCCCCUCAUCUUCGGUUGCCAGAUAUCGACGACGCAAAUAUUAGUAAUCUGCCUGCACCGCCUUUGGUCUGUGUCUUACCUCCUGCUAGAUCUUAGUACUAUUGAUUGAUUUUUGUAGUUUAAGUCAGUAGAAUGUAGUAGAUUAUAAUUCUUCCACGGAAUUAUUGAUACCUAGGCACUAGAAAAUUUUCAGCAUUGUGAGUACCCUAUGUAUAAUCUGCAAUUACCACAACAUAAUAGGAUGAGGAAUAUUUUUGUGACUUGCAUUGUAAUCUCUCUUCAAGUCAAUUUUAAUGAUACAAGGGGAACUUUUCUAUAUAUACGAAGUAAUUUUAA